AGUCCAUGGUGUGGGCACUUCCUUAGCAUAGUCUUGAAACGUUCUCACGCCUUGUACAAGGACUCACCUUCAUGGUGUUUAAUGUUGGCGAUUUCUCGCCUACGGAAU
rfam:Gossypium hirsutum cultivar TM-1 chromosome 9, whole genome shotgun sequence